UACCAGCGUUCUGAGGAUACUAUUAA
rnacentral:piRNA from 1 species